rnacentral:rRNA from 1 species
CAGUAGCCGCGGUAAUACGAAGGGUGCAAGCGUUAAUCGGAAUUACUGGGCGUAAAGCGUGCGUAGGCGGUUUGUUAAGUCUGUUGUGAAAUCCCCGGGCUCAACCUGGGAACGGCAAUGGAUACUGGCAAGCUAGAGUGUGUCAGAGGAUGGUGGAAUUCCCGGUGUAGCGGUGAAAUGCGUAGAGAUCGGGAGGAACAUCAGUGGCGAAGGCGGCCAUCUGGGACAACACUGACGCUGAGGCACGAGAGCGUGGGGAGCAAACAGGAUUAGAUACCCCUGUAGUCCCUGUCUCUUAUAA